GUCCUCACACCCCCUCCCCCUUUGACUAACGUCUACUGCUGGCAAUAAGAGGAGGGGGCCACACUGAGUGUGCGUUGGGUGCAGAGUUGUAUUGUGUUUGACAUUGUUUCGGUAGCCGGGUGACUUUUCCCGUCGGUACGGUGUGAAAGUGAAUCAUGGUAGCUGACACAGAAAACUGUCCCGGCUUAUUGGCUGGAAGCAUUGCUCAGAAACUCCAUCUCCACCAAUCAGCAGCCUGCAGCAUCAGCGUUGUUAACAAUGGCUGUCAGCAUCAUCAAUGAAUCACCGGCAUCCUGUUCAUCCUCCUCACCAUCAUCACACGUCAUCAUGCUGGAGCGUUUCUCAGCAUCACACCUCCUGUGCAGCAGGAGGCCCGGUCUGGCGGCGAGGACCGGCUGGGCGCUAAUUGGGCCUGAAGCUUCUGAAUGGCGGCGCCUGCCGUGAAUGGAGAUGAAGGGUACGGCACCCCUUGGGGAGUGAUGCAGGAGAGAGAUGCCGAUCCAUUUAGUCGCAGGUCCCCAAGGAGCACGAGAGAAGGGAAUUAAACCAACACGACACCCGGCUGCUAACUGUGUCAGCAUCUAAAGGAGGCGGGCAAGGGGCGGUUAGGUGUGUUUCAGUAUGAAACAUCUGCUCUUAAUCCGCACCAACCCGAUGGCUAUACCCCCAUGGGGGGACUCAAACCCACUGAAGAGCGUACGCAACUGAGCAGUUCCUAAAAGAAAACCGAUCGGAUGGACCCACAGGAUCGUGAUGGAGUUUGCAGAUACGCCUUUUGCUCACCGUGUCUCAUGUUAGUGGGAACUUUCUCCUCACGUCUCCCCAUCGUGUUGCCC
ensembl:lncRNA